rnacentral:rRNA from 1 species
AUACGGGGGAUGCAAGCGUUAUUCGGAAUCAUUGGGCGUAAAGGGCACGCAGGCGGUUCUGUCAGUCAGAUGUGAAAGCCCGGGGCUUAACCCCGGACGUGCAUUUGAAACAGCAGGACUUGAGUAUGGUAGAGGAAAGCGGAAUUCCUGGUGUAGAGGUGAAAUUCGUAGAUAUCAGGAGGAACACCGGUGGCGAAGGCGGCUUUCUGGACCAAAACUGACGCUGAGGUGCGAAGGCGUGGGUAGCGAACAGGAUUAGAUACCCGGGUAGUCC